UUUCAGACUCUCUCUAGGUCUCUGUGUCUUGUGCAUAGUAACAAAGGGAGGCAAUGGACAAAUUGAGUGGCACUUGCUGCCCAAUUGUCUGAAACCCAUUGUCCCAAAGGCCACAGUGGCUUGUGAGUCCAACGGUCACAAAGUGCAAUAGAUGCUUGUAAUCUCUUAUCACUUUGCUGUUGGUUCAUGCCACAGGGUGCUGGGACCCAAUAAGUACACGGUAGUGGUAGGCGAUCCUACCCUGCUGGUC
rnacentral:misc_RNA from 1 species